GCCUCCAAUGAGACUUCAUCGCCCACCAGACUUUUUUGUUUGCAAACACCAAGUCUAGCAAGGCGCCUUCCAUCAUUGGCACUCUCACUAGCUGCAUGAGGAAGUUAUUUUCCACGCACUCCAGGAACCUCCUGGACUGUCUCCUCUCUGCUGUGUUGUAUUUCCAGCAGAUAUCAGGUGUUCUCCUCAUCCCUAACCUCAUCUCCUCAUCUCCUCAUCAUCCUCAUCUCCUAACCAAAGGGAUAGUGGAGAACACUACUUGUGCUCCUGAACCAGAUGUCUCAAGGCCCUGAAGUCUUCCUUGAUAGCCCUUAGAUUUCUGCUUGACACUUCAUCACUACCCACCUGGAAAAUGAACAAUGGAUAGUAGUUUGUUGGCUGUAGCAAGAAGAUGUUUUGAUAUUGGGCACUGACUGUCUGAAUGUUGGUAACUGCUCCAGUCGAGGUGAGCCCUCAUCCUGAUCACUGCUCAGCUCCGUUUGCAGAUCCACAUACCUAUUCUGUAAGGGUAAGGACACCUGGGAAGGUGGAGAAAUCACAAGAGACACUCAUCUGCUGUGCCGGACAGCAACCUGCUGCUUUUGCCCUCCGUCCCUUGAGUCCCUGGAUUCAGCUGGCCUAAGAGAGGAGGGGGAAUCCCCUGGGUUAUAUGCCUAUUUUACCUGCCACAGGGAGGGUAAGGUAUGAUCCCAAUAGUCUAUCUCCUACUCACAUUCUGUGAUACGCUUCAGCAUACUCACCUCCUCGCAGAGCUCUGCCUCCAGGUGCUGAAGACGACGGGAGACAAGCCCACCCUGUAGUGCAACAAGUCUCAACUUUAUUUGCAAAGAUACAGCUCUUUUAUAGAUACAAUAAUCAGGCUCAUACAUAUUG